GACGAACGCUGGCGGCGUGCUUAACACAUGCAAGUCGAACGCUGAAGCUUGGUGCUUGCACUGGGUGGAUGAGUGGCGAACGGGUGAGUAAUACGUGAGUAACCUGCCCUUGACUCUGGGAUAAGCCUGGGAAACUGGGUCUAAUACUGGAUACGACAUGUCACCGCAUGGUGGUGUGUGGAAAGGGUUUUACUGGUUUUGGAUGGGCUCACGGCCUAUCAGCUUGUUGGUGGGGUAAUGGCUCACCAAGGCGACGACGGGUAGCCGGCCUGAGAGGGUGACCGGCCACACUGGGACUGAGACACGGCCCAGACUCCUACGGGAGGCAGCAGUGGGGAAUAUUGCGCAAUGGGCGGAAGCCUGAUGCAGCGACGCCGCGUGAGGGAUGACGGCCUUCGGGUUGUAAACCUCUUUCAGCACGGAAGAAGCGAAAGUGACGGUACGUGCAGAAGAAGCGCCGGCUAACUACGUG
rnacentral:rRNA from 1 species